rnacentral:lncRNA from 1 species
GCAGAGAAGGGCAAGUCCUGCCAGAGCCAUGCUCACCACACUUGGGCUGGCUAGAGUCAUUUUAGUCUUUUCUAAGCAGCAGAACCCUGGUGUAGUUCUCUAUUCUUUAUUUCUUUCUAGGAUCUGGUAGCCUCUAUUCAACUAUGUAUUUAUGUGAUUUCAAUUUUUGACACUUUUUAUUUGUGAGCGAUCCCGCAUACACAUUUUGUGUGUGUGUGUGUGCAUGUGUGUGUGUGUGUGUGUAUGUGUGUGUACUUACAGAGAUCAGAAGUUGUCAGAUUUUCUGAGCUGAGUUAGGCAGUUGUGAGCUGUCUGACAUGGGUGCUUAACUGAACUUAGGUCCUCUGCAAGAGUCUCUCAUGCUCUUCUUCACCAAGGGGCCUCUUCCCCAGCUCCAAGAUCAACUUUUAAACUUCUGCAUGUGAGACCUUGUCGUCUUCUAUCCGUCCAUACUUUCACUUACAACAUUGUGAUGGUUUGUAUAUCCUUGGACCAGGGAGUGGCACCAUCUGAAGGUGUGGCCUUGUUGGAAUAGGUGUGACCUGGUUGGAAUGGGUGUGUCACUGUGGGUGUGGGUCUAAGAUCCUCACCCUAGUUGCCUGGAAGUCAGUCUUCCACUAGCAGCCUUUGGAUGAAGACAUAGAACUCUCAGCUCCUCCUGUGCCAUGCUUGCCUGGACACUACCAUCCUCUCACCUUGAUGAUAAUGGACUCAACCUCUGAACCUGUAAGCCAGCCCCAAUUAAAUGCUGUUUUUUAUAAGACUUGCCUUGGACAUGGUGUCUGUUCACAGCAGUAAAACCCUAACUAAGACAAACAUCUUCCAACUUCAUCUUUGUUGCUGCACCUCAUUUUUACGAAUGAAUACUAUCCCAUUGUGUCUACAUCACAGUUUCUCUAUCCCGUCAUCUUUGUACACAUAGCUGGUACAAAUUUUUGUUGAUUAUUAUUAUCUUUAAAUUAUUUUAUUGUGUGUCAAUUUGAUACAAGUCAGGGUCAUCUGGGAAGGGGAAACCUCAGCUGAGAAAACUGCCUCCUUAGCUUGGCCUGUAGUCAGUUUUAUGGGUCGAUUUCUUGAUUCAUGAUCAAUAUGGGAGGGGACAGCCCACUGUGGGUGAUGCCACCCACUCCUCAGCAAAUGGCCCUGACUUGUAUGAAAAAGACAGCUAAGCAAGCAUGAGGGGCAAACCAUUAAGUGACAUCCCUCCAUGGCCUCUCCUUUAGUUUCUGGGUCCAGGUUCCUGCCCUGACUUUUCUCAGUGUUGGAUUGUGACUUAGAAAUGUAAGCUGAAACAAACUCUGCCUUCCCUAAGUUACUUUUGGUCACUGUGGUUUAUCAUGGCAAUAGAAAACAAACCAGGGCAACCUGGCUUGAGCUUUUUAGGUACUGUUUGGUUCCUCUCUCUCCAUGUCAGCCAGCGCUCUGGCUUUCAGUUCCAGCGCUACACCAGGUUAUGAACGUGGGCAUUCUAGCCUUAUUUCAGAUCUUAGAGGGAGGACUUGUUUCUUUUAUUUUUUCCCCCUGUUGAGGAUAAUAUAAGCUAUGAACUUUUCAUAUAUACCAUUAUUAUGGGGUGAACUAUUUUCAGUUUAGUUUGCUGAAAGGUUUUUUUUAAAACCAUAAAUAGCACUGAAUUUUGUUAAAUUUUUUUCAUGAGAUGUAGCUCAGAUGGGAGGGUGUUGUGUAUAUAUGAAGCCCUGGGUUUGAUUCCCCAGCCCAUGCAAAUCAGGCCUGGUUGUCUUUGUUGGCCCACUUGUUUACAAGUGUUGUAUAGUUUUUACAUAUUUGUGAGAUAUUCAGGUUUCUUUCUAUUUAUUUUAGUUACAAUCCGUUGUGGUUAGAAAAGUUAUGUGGCAUGAUUUUAAUCUUCCUAGAUUUACUGAGACUGCUUUAGUGCUAAUAAGCAAUCAAUUCUUGAAAAUGUUCCAUGUGCACUUGAAAAAAAAUGAAUAUUCUCUUGCUGUUGGAUAGGUUUUCUCUCUCUCUCUCUCUCUCUCUCUCUCUCUCUCUCUCUCUCUCUCUCUC